rnacentral:rRNA from 1 species
UACGGGGGGGGCAAGCGUUGUUCGGAAUUACUGGGCGUAAAGGGCUCGUAGGCGGCCAACUAAGUCAGACGUGAAAUCCCUCGGCUUAACCGGGGAACUGCGUCUGAUACUGGAUGGCUUGAAUCCGGGAGAGGGAUGCGGAAUUCCAGGUGUAGCGGUGUAAUGCGUAGAUAUCUGGAGGAACACCGGUGGCGAAGGCGGCAUCCUGGACCGGCAUUGACGCUGAGGAGCGAAAGCCAGGGGAGCAAACGGG